AGGCCGGGCACCACGUGACGGGAGCGGCCGGGGUCUCCGAGGCCUCGGGCCGCCGGGCCGCCGAUCGUCUCGGCGUCCCCCUC
rnacentral:tRNA from 1 species